rnacentral:rRNA from 1 species
GAUGAACGCUGGCGGCGUGCCUAAUACAUGCAAGUCGAGCGAACAGACGAGGAGCUUGCUCCUCUGACGUUAGCGGCGGACGGGUGAGUAACACGUGGAUAACCUUCCUAUAAGACUGGGAUAACUUCGGGAAACCGGAGCUAAUACCGGAUAAUAUAUUGAACCGCAUGGUUCAAUAGUGAAAGACGGUUUUGCUGUCACUUAUAGAUGGAUCCGCGCCGCAUUAGCUAGUUGGUAAGGUAACGGCUUACCAAGGCGACGAUGCGUAGCCGACCUGAGAGGGUGAUCGGCCACACUGGAACUGAGACACGGUCCAGACUCCUACGGGAGGCAGCAGUAGGGAAUCUUCCGCAAAGGGCGAAAGCCUGACGGAGCAACGCCGCGUGAGUGAUGAAGGUCUUCGGAUCGUAAAACUCUGUUAUUAGGGAAGAACAAAUGUGUAAGUAACUAUGCACGUCUUGACGGUACCUAAUCAGAAAGCCACGGCUAACUACGUG